rnacentral:rRNA from 1 species
GACAGAGGAUGCAAGCGUUAUCCGGAAUGAUUGGGCGUAAAGCGUCUGUAGGUGGCUUUUCAAGUCCGCCGUCAAAUCCCAGGGCUCAACCCUGGACAGGCGGUGGAAACUACCAAGCUGGAGUACGGUAGGGGCAGAGGGAAUUUCCGGUGGAGCGGUGAAAUGCAUUGAGAUCGGAAAGGAACACCAACGGCGAAAGCACUCUAGCUGGGCCGACACUGACACUGAGGCGCGAAAGCGUGGGGAGCGAACAGG